UUUGUGAUUAUUUAUAUUUAUAUUUGAUAGAUUUUGUAGCUGGAAACGGUUAUGUGUGAGUAGAUCAGCAUUAUUUUGUGCAACAAAUACAAAUACAAAUAACAACAAUCUACAAUGUACAAGCAAGGAAGAAAAAAACAAUCACGUGCGCUUAGAAGCUUGUUCGCCGUGUAGAGCCAUCGCUCAGCUUCGGCUCUGCUUCCGCCAUCGUCCAUGCUGGUUGUUAGAGUGCGAAUUGACGAAAGGGACGCGAAGUUGUAAGAGUUCUUUUUAUUUUUUAUGAUAAGAAUGGGAUGCGAGGCGAGGGUAGUUUGGUCAUUUGAGAUCGGAGAUAAACUUCGUGGAGUUUGUGUUGUAAGUUGAAGGAAAGGGAAGUAAGUACUCUUGUGAGUAGUGACACUGUUUGUUUAAUUUUGCUGUACCCUAUAUAAAAUAAGGAAUGAAGACAGAUGUCUUUAUC